rnacentral:rRNA from 1 species
UGCGUAGGCGGAAUGAUAAGUUAGUGGUGAAAGCCCCCGGCUCAACCGGGGAACUGCCAUUAAUACUGUCAUUCUUGAGUAUAGUUGAAGUGGGCGGAAUGUAUCAUGUAGCGGUGAAAUGCUUAGAUAUGAUACAGAACACCGAUAGCGUAGGCAGCUUGCUAAACUAUAACUGACGCUCAGGCACGAAAGCGUGGGGAGCAAACAGGAUUAAAUACCCUGGUAGUCC